GAGACGCUGACUCAAAUAAAUAAAUAAAUAAAUAAAUAAAUAAAUAAAUAAAUAAAUAAAACCCUAUUGCUUUGCUCUGCCAAAGUACUAGAAGAUACCUCCUAGCCUCAGAAGUGAAAGUAUAGGAUCUACUCCUCAUCAAGGCUUCCACACCUCCAUAAUCCACUCAGUAGACUAAACUCAAAGCCUGCCUCAUUUUUAUUUCCCUUCCCUCCGUAUCUGAUGUUUCACAAAGUCCAGUUCAUUCUUUCCAUUCUUCUAAUCUGUGCACCACACUGCGUCACUACCGCCUGUUCCCAAGUCAGCUCACUGCUCUCUUUUGCCUCCCAAUUUGUUGGCCUGCCUCUAGUCCUGCCCCUCAUCUCCUCUCUGUAACCUCUAAUCUUUCUAAAACAUAAAUCUCGCUAGUGCAUUUCCCUACUGUAAACACUUCCACAAGUGGAUGAAGAUUCCUCCAAAUCCUCUAUAUGACUUCCAUGCCCUUGGGAGUCUGCACCCUGCUGCAGCUCCAGCCCAGUGUCUUCCCAUUCCCCGAUCCUCACUACAGUCCUCCUGAAAUCCUGCAGGUCCUUUCACACACAGAGCAUCCCCACACCUUCCCACAUGCUACCAUAUGACUCAAGCAUCCACCCAUCUUUACCUGCAUAAUUUCUACUUGUUCUUUGGAUCUGUGCAUAGAGACUACCUACUAGGAAGCUCCCCCUGAACCCAUGGCUGGGUGAGCUUAAUGUACACAUGUGGGUUUGUGUGUGCAUGUGUUUGUUCCAUUAUCGUGUUCACCACAUGGCAUUGUAAUUUUCUCUAUUAUUACCUCUCUCUGAGGGACUGUGAGCUCCAGAAAGUCAGGUAGUUGGUCUUGUCCAAUUUAUCAUUCUAAACAGUGUCUGGCACAUAGCAGGGGCUUACUUGUCAGCUCUGCACUUGUGGAAUAAAUGGUCCUGAAUUGUCAAUCAUCAUAUCACCAUUCCCCUCUUCCUAAUUUGCCUGAAUUCCAAGGGAGAAGCCAAGAGCAACCCAACUAUGAAAAAAAAUGUGUAUCAGCAAAAUCACUCUAAUCUUUUAGAAACACUGUCAGACAUUCCUCAGUGCAAGUCUCAUACAUACAUCCAGGAAGAAGGUCUGGAUUUGGUGCCCCAAUUUCUGUGACCAGGCCUGACUCUGUCUUGUACUAACCAUGAAUUAGUGAGAGUCUUUCAAGUUCUCUAAACCUCAGUUACUUAUCAAUUGAGGAAGAAUAGUACCUGUUCUCUCCUUACCCAAGACUAACGUUUAUGGGAGUCAAAUGAGGUGUAUGUACAAAAAUGCUUUCUUGCUCCCUAACGUUUCCCCAAUUGUGAAUCUGGAAAAUUUCUUUCAACUCAUUGAGAUACAGCUGAAACUCACAAUUUCAUCACCCCUUCCUUAAAUGCCCAGGAAUGCUUUAUCACUUCCUCCAUGACUGCUCAGCAUAUCAUAUCAUACCAAUAUUGACAGUGUUGUCCUAACAUUGUGUUCAUCUCCCAGCAUCACUCAUAACCACUCUGAAGUGGAGUGGGGCACUCUUGUUUGUCUUUGUGCUCCCCAUGGCCAUCAGGGUUGCAGAGUCAAAGAGAAUCCACUUAUUUAAUAUUUUAAUUCAUAACUAAUGUAUAUAACGCUAUGAACUCAUAGGAAUGUAGUUAUCACUGUAGUGGAAUACUCUUCUAGAGUAUUUCUUCUCAGUCUUAUUUUUCUCUCCUUGGCUUGCUUCCCUCUCCUUGAUUUCAGAUUAUCUCUGUGGCCAGAAAUGCCAAGGAUUGCCUGGUGUCUUACCACUUUCACAGGAUGACUUCCUAAUUGACUGACCCUCAGGAAUUUUGUGAGAAACUGACAUUAGGAAAAGUGUCCUGGACCUGGCACUGAGUUUUCAGGAACCUGUGUUGACUGAGGGCACCUGGACCGUGAGAUACCAGCAAAUCUCUCAACCCUACCAGCCCUUAGGAACCACCACCCUAAUUUCUGCUGCUGUUAGUUCAACAUUUUUAUCUCCCAUAUGUGAUGUCAUGUGGUCUUUUUCUUUCUAUACCUGGCUUUUUCCACUUAACAUUCAUUUGAAAAAGAAAUUUCCAUUGCUUGGGCAUGAUAUUCCAUUGCAAACUCUCAUCAUCAGGGCAGUUAGUACCCUGAAAGCAGUAAAGGAAGAGAUGCCUGCAGAGGUUUCUGGAACUUCUCGCCACCAAGCAGGGCUGCUGUAAUUUACAAGGUUCCUUCCACAGAAGCAGGAGGAAACUCCUGAAGGCACCUCCAGACAGGGAACAUACUCACAGAGCAUUUCAGCAUAUGAACUUUGAAGAGCAAACUUACCUAUUAACUUUGACCAGAGAUGCAUAUUAAUGUUGAGCAAAGCUGCAUAUUAACUCUGGGAUGUAACUGUUCUAAAUGGCUACUUCGCAAUU